GGGAAACCGAGUCUUAACCGGGCGUUAAGUUGCAGGGUAUAGACCCGAAACCCGGUGAUCUAGCCAUGGGCAGGUUGAAGGUUGGGUAACACUAACUGGAGGACCGAACCGACUAAUGUUGAAAAAUUAGCGGAUGACCUGUGGCUGGGGGUGAAAGGCCAAUCAAACCGGGAGAUAGCUGGUUCUCCCCGAAAGCUAUUUAGGUAGCGCCUCGUGAAUUCAUCUCCGGGGGUAGAGCACUGUUUCGGCUAGGGGGCCAUCCCGGCUUACCAACCCGAUGCAAACUGCGAAUACCGGAGAAUGUUAUCACGGGAGACACACGGCGGGUGCUAACGUCCGUCGUGAAGAGGGAAACAACCCAGACCGCCAGCUAAGGUCCCAAAGUCAUGGUUAAGUGGGAAACGAUGUGGGAAGGCCCAGACAGCCAGGAUGUUGGCUUAGAAGCAGCCAUCAUUUAAAGAAAGCGUAAUAGCUCACUGGUCGAGUCGGCCUGCGCGGAAGAUGUAACGGGGCUAAACCAUG
rnacentral:rRNA from 2 species